rnacentral:rRNA from 1 species
GACGAACGCUGGCGGCGUGCUUAACACAUGCAAGUCGAACGGAAAGGCCCUGCUUUUGUGGGGUGCUCGAGUGGCGAACGGGUGAGUAACACGUGAGUAACCUGCCCUUGACUUUGGGAUAACUUCAGGAAACUGGGGCUCAUACCGGAUAGGAGCUCCUGCUGCAUGGUGGGGGUUGGAAAGUUUCGGCGGUUGGGGAUGGACUCGCGGCUUAUCAGCUUGUUGGUGGGGUAGUGGCUUACCAAGGCUUUGACGGGUAGCCGGCCUGGGAGGGUGACCGGCCACAUGGGGACUGAGAUACGGCCCAGACUCCUACGGGAGGCAGCAGUGGGGAAUAUUGCACAAUGGGCGGAAGCCUGAUGCAGCAACGCCGCGUGCGGGAUGACGGCCUUCGGGUUGUAAACCGCUUUCGCCUGUGACGAAGCGUGAGUGACGGUAAUGGGUAAAGAAGCACCGGCUAACUACGUG